CCUACGGGAGGCAGCAGUGAGGAAUAUUGGACAAUGGGCGCAAGCCUGAUCCAGCCAUGCCGCGUGCAGGAUGACGGUCCUAUGGAUUGUAAACUGCUUUUAUACGGGAAGAAACCCUGGCUCGUGAGCCAGAUUGACGGUACCGUAAGAAUAAGGAUCGGCUAACUCCGUGCCAGCAGCCGCGGUAAUACGGAGGAUCCAAGCGUUAUCCGGAAUCAUUGGGUUUAAAGGGUCCGUAGGCGGUUUAAUAAGUCAGUGGUGAAAGCCCAUCGCUCAACGGUGGAACGGCCAUUGAUACUGUUAGACUUGAAUUAUUAGGAAGUAACUAGAAUAUGUAGUGUAGCGGUGAAAUGCUUAGAGAUUACAUGGAAUACCAAUUGCGAAGGCAGGUUACUACUAAUUGAUUGACGCUGAUGGACGAAAGCGUGGGUAGCGAACAGGAUUAGAUACCCUGGUAGUCCACGCCGUAAACGAUGGAUACUAGCUGUUGGGAGUAAUCUCAGUGGCUAAGCGAAAGUGAUAAGUAUCCCACCUGGGGAGUACGUUCGCAAGAAUGAAACUUAAAUGAAUUGACGGNUGAGAGNGCGAGACGACGACGAGGAGGAGG
rnacentral:rRNA from 1 species